ACGGAAAUGGACCCUGAGCGGUCCAUAAAUCAAAACGCGCACAGCGCGUUUUGUUAUAUUACCGUUGCAAACAUGGAAAGACCGAAAUACCCACACAUCUCUCAUCUCUGUGCGCGCUGUGCCCUCAUCUCUCAUCUCUGCUCUCCCUUCGCAUUUGACGCCUCCAUCUGUUCUCUCUGCCUUGCUCUGCCUUCGUACCAAAAACACUGAUCUGCUACCAAAAACCAGAUGGGUAAAAACACAACUUCCAACCCCGAGGCAAAAAAGGCUAGAGCAUUAUGGGAUAAUAAUUCAAGCUGGACCACUACUUUUUGUAAUCUUUGUGUGGAACAGAUUCAACUUGGGAAUAGGAAUAAAGGUGUUGCCUUUAAGACCAUAGGUUGGACCAAUAUAGUGACCAAAUUUUGUGAUGAAACCGGUCAAAAUUAUGAUAGGGAGCAAUUAAAAAGUAGGUGGGAUGUGUUAAAAGGUGAUUGGAGAUUGUGGGAAAAAUUGAGGAUGCAUGACACAGGUUUAGGUUGGGAUACAGCGAAGGGAACAAUUCUUGCUCCUGAUGAUUGGUGGGACCGAAAGUUGAAGGAAUUACCCAAAGCUAAAAAAUUUCGAGAGAAAGGUCUACAGAAUCUAGAACAACUUGAUAUAA